GAGAGAACAUUUUGAAUGUUAUUGUGGCUUCCUGAGGAUGGCAAACGACUUUCUGAAACCUUUAUCUAUGAAUGUAUAUAGUAUCCAACUAGUUGGUCAGUAGUUGUGUGGUUGUGGUCAGUGCUGAAUGCUAGUUGGUCAGUAGUUGUGUGGUUGUGGUCAGUGCUGAAUGCUAGUUGGUCAGUAAUGUUGAGGUCAGUGCUGAAUGCUAGUUGGUCAGUAGUUGUGUGGUUGUGGUCAGUGCCGAAUGCUAGUUGGUCAGUAGUUGUGUGUUUGUGGUCAGUGCUGAAUGCUAGUUGGUGAGUAAUGUUGAGGUCAGUGCUGAAUGCUAGUUGGUGAGUAAUGUUGAGGUCAGUGCUGAAUGCUAGUUGGUGAGUAAUGUUGAGGUCAGUGCUGAAUGCUAGUUGGUGAGUAAUGUUGAGGUCAGUGCUGAAUGCUAGUUGGUGAGUAAUGUUGAGGUCAGUGCUGAAUGCUAGUUGGUCAGUAAUGUUGAGGUCAGUGCUGAAUGCUAGUUGGUCAGUAAUGUUGAGGUCAGUGCUGAAUGCUAGUUGGUCAGUAAUGUUGAGGUCAGUGCUGAAUGCUAGUUGGUGAGUAAUGUUGAGGUCAGUGCUG